rfam:Nadsonia fulvescens var. elongata DSM 6958 unplaced genomic scaffold NADFTscaffold_4, whole genome shotgun sequence.
GACAUUUUGGCCGAGUGGUCUAAGGCGGUAGACUUAAGCUUGUUAGUUAUAUAACAAGAGUAAUCUACUAUUCGAAAGGAUGCAAGGGUUCGAACCCCUUAGGUGUCA